CUUUAACUCUGGCGGUAGGCCUAACACAUGCAAGUCGAACGGCAGCACAGUAAGAGCUUGCUCUUACGGGUGGCGAGUGGCGGACGGGUGAGGAAUACAUCGGAAUCUACUUUUUCGUGGGGGAUAACGUAGGGAAACUUACGCUAAUACCGCAUACGACCUACGGGUGAAAGCAGGGGAUCUUCGGACCUUGCGCGAUUGAAUGAGCCGAUGUCGGAUUAGCUAGUUGGCGGGGUAAAGGCCCACCAAGGCGACGAUCCGUAGCUGGUCUGAGAGGAUGAUCAGCCACACUGGAACUGAGACACGGUCCAGACUCCUACGGGAGGCAGCAGUGGGGAAUAUUGGACAAUGGGCGCAAGCCUGAUCCAGCCAUACCGCGUGGGUGAAGAAGGCCCUCGGGUUGUAAAGCCCUUUUGUUGGGAAAGAAAAGCAGCAGGUUAAUACCCCGCUGUUCUGACGGUACCCAAAGAAUAAGCACCGGCUAACUUCGUG
rnacentral:rRNA from 1 species